CAAUCGUCUCUCUUCCGUUGUUCUUCUUCCGGCCUCCGGAAGUUUUGUCACGAGUUGUUUUUGUGCCACUGCUACCUUUUUCCACAGUCCCAUCUCUGUAUGUGUUAACGGUAGUCGCACACGUUUCGUGCAUGCCUCGUCUCCGCUGCAAGCUUCUAUCGCAUGACACUGGCGAAUCCUCCCACUUCUAGUCGCGAAGUGGUGCCCCACCUUCGUCUUGUCCGCAAGUUCUGGUCUAUAUCUUUCCUGUUGAAGAGAGAACUCUUUCUUGCAAGUGUUUCUACUCGCCGCCAACUGGCGCAGCACAGGCAGGCUGUCUGUGUCUCCGUAGAGCAAAUCGCAGACCGGUCUGUGUCUUCUUUCAGACGCAACAUGGAAAUGAGAUUUUUGCGUAUAUCUGCAGAUAGAUUACGUCUUAAACCCCACAAUUGGUUAUUCGAGUAGUAAAGUAGUCCAAAAUAUUACACUACGGACGCAAAAUGUGAGUUCCGGCGUACCGCCGUGUUCCAUUCGGCUGCUUCAUGCGUUUGGGCGGUAAGAAGCCCGGUCGGCUGCGGAACAUACGAAGAGAAAGAUUUCUGCCGUAUGAUUCCAAAUCUAGCAGAGACAGGGGAUAGGAGAAUACGAAAGUGUGAUGCAGGAAACGUAGACGGUGCUUUCGACGCCACCAGUAGAGAUGCAGAUGUCCAGCGGCGACGUGGAAACGGUGGGAGGGGGCACCUGGUAAAAAAAAUGACGACGCUUGUUGGUGAAUCACUCCGGAUCUUCCCAAGGGGUUUCUGUGUCCUAAACACGAUGAAAUGUCAUAUGAGACGGCAUUUCCUCGGCAUGGACAGUGAAAUUCAAAGUCGAAAUUCUGGAGUUGCCAGUUCUGCCGACGGCAAGCAACGCCGCUCAAACACCUUUCCGAUACCCUCUGUGGAAAACUAUUCAGGGUAAAAACGUACUAGGGCACUUCUUUAAAUAUGACAUAGUGAUGUGUCAACGAAAAGAGGCGCGUCGUCUAGCAUCCACAGCGCAAAUCUGAUUGGGGGGGGGGGGGGGGGAGUAGGGGGAAGAAGUCAGAAUAGAUUGCGAUUUGAAGCUAAACAUGCCUGUGGCCUGGGGAUAUCACAGAGGGUGGUCGCUUGUGUCGCGGUCGUGUGCUCUAUCUGACAUCUUGUUUCCCCGCAAGUCUCACAAACGCCCCUUUCGCCAACCCCUUGUGAACCAGCCCUGUCCCGGCGGUCGCCUCGUAUCGUGGAAAUUAGGAAAGCAGGCGCUGCUUAGCACCGUCCUUCAUGCAGUGCAAAAGUCUGUUUUGUGUCGAUUCGGAAGCUUUCUGCUACAGACCGCGCUGCCCCAAGACAUGCACUCUGUGGCGACCACUUUCUUCAGGAACGAUAAGAAAAGUCGGAGGGCCACCGUAACCGUUGCCUAUCUGUUUCAACUAAAGACGCGCACAGCGAAACAAUAUGCCAUACAGUUGAGUGGGAUCUUUGUGGCUCAGUGACAGACCCUUUCGUGUGCCC
rnacentral:lncRNA from 1 species